CAAGUAUGGAGGUCAGGCUGAAGACCUUACCCCGAUUAGCUGAGAGGUGGUGCAUGGCCGUCGUCAGUUCGUACUGUGAAGCAUCCUGUUAAGUCAGGCAACGAGCGAGACCCACGUCCACAGUUGCCAGCAUACCCUCCGGGGUGAUGGGUACACUGUGGAGACCGCCGCUGCUAAAGCGGAGGAAGGAGUGGGCAACGGUAGGUCAGUAUGCCCCGAAUCUCCCGGGCUACACGCGGGCUACAAUGGUUGGUACAAUGGGCAUCUACCCCGAAAGGGGAAGGAAAUCUCUUAAAGCCAAUCGUAGUUCGGAUUGAGGGCUGCAACUCGCCCUCAUGAAGCUGGAAUCCGUAGUAAUCGCGUUUCAACAGAACGCGGUGAAUACGUCCCUGCUCCUU
rnacentral:rRNA from 1 species